GGGGGCGUAGUUCAGUUGGUUAGAACGCUGGCCUGUCACGCCAGAGGUCGCGAGUUCGAGUCUCGUCGUCCCCG
rnacentral:tRNA from 4 species